GUUUGUCUCACUGAAACGUUAAAGGAAGAUAAAAUGCUGUUUAAGUCCCAUCGUAGCUGAGGAACUAACCAGAGAGCUCUCAAUGCCAGCACCUCUACCUCAGAGAUCUCCAGGCCAAACGCCCAAGUACAGAAGGAAAGAAUGGCUAGAAUCCGGUUUGGCAAUUGCUGAAAACCGUGAAGAAUAAGAUAGGUGACUAGGAUCCAGGGAAAUAAUUCACUUUUCAAAAAAAGGCCAAAAGAUAAAAACAAGCAAGAAAGCAAACAAAUAAAAGUAACAACAAAAUUUAAGAACCCCUUGCAUGGAAGAGAUGCUUAUUUCCUCUGGACUGAAAGAUGGCAUCAGAAGUGGGAUCUAAAGUAAAGCUUCUAACAAUCCCCAUGAGCACUGAGUGACCAAGCAAGGUACCCGCCAGGCCUGUUCUGUCUGUUGCUCUCGCAGAGCAGCUGGGGAUCGUGGUAUGAUGAGACCAAAAGACCAGGAGACAACUGCUGAAGGUUAUUAUAACUCCAGAUCCAAAGGGAAAGGGACACGUGACACUAUCGGCGAGACACAUGGAGAAGCAGCAAGAUGACAGAAACUUCAUUGGCUUUGGCAAAGCAGAAAUUUAUUAGCUUACAAGGUUUAAAAAAGCCCUGAAUCUCAGAGAGAUUACAUAGCUUUGCCAGUGUCGUACACCUAAAUAAGAAGGAAGGAGAAGUCUUCUAGCUUCAGAACCCAAGCUUCCUUCAAUGAACUGCAAACUGCCAAUAAACUACUGAAGG